GACGAACGCUGGCGGCGUGCUUAACACAUGCAAGUCGAACGGUGAAGGGGAGCUUGCUCCCCGGAUCAGUGGCGAACGGGUGAGUAACACGUGGGCAACCUGCCCCAGACUUCGGGAUAACGCUUCGAAAGAGGUGCUAAUACCGGGUACGAACUCCUUGGGCAUCCUUGGGGUUGGAAAGUUUUUCGGUCUGGGAUGGGCCCGCGGCCUAUCAGCUUGUUGGUGAGGUAACGGCUCACCAAGGCGACGACGGGUAGCCGGCCUGAGAGGGCGACCGGCCUCACUGGGACUGAGACACGGCCCAGACUCCUACGGGAGGCAGCAGUGGGGAAUAUUGCGCAAUGGGCGAAAGCCUGACGCAGCAACGCCGCGUGAGGGAUGACGGCCUUCGGGUUGUAAACCUCUUUCAGCAGGGAAGAAGCGAAAGUGACGGUACCUGCAGAAGAAGCACCGGCUAACUACGUGCCAGCCGCCGCCGUAA
rnacentral:rRNA from 1 species